rnacentral:rRNA from 1 species
AAUAUUGCACAAUGGAGGAAACUCUGAUGCAGCGACGCCGCGUGAGCGAUGAAGGCUUUCGAGUCGUCCAGCUCUGUCCUAGGGGACGAUAAUGACGGUACCCUAGGAGGAAGCCCCGGCUAACUACGUGCCAGCAGCCGCGGUAAUACGUAGGGGGCGAGCGUUGUCCGGAAUUAUUGGGCGUAAAGGGUUCGCAGGCGGCCUUUUAAGUCAGAUGUGAAAGCCCACGGCUUAACCGUGGUAAGCAUUGGAGACUGGAAGGCUUGAGUUAGGGAGAGGAAAGUGGAAUUCCUAGGGUAGCGUGGAAAUGCGUAGAUAUUAGGAGGAAUACCAGUGGCGAGGGCGACUUUCUGGACUUAUACUGACGCGGAGGAACGAAAGCGUGGGGAGCGAA